AGCUCCAAUAGCGUAUAUUAAAGUUGUUGCGGUUAAAAAGCUCGUAGUUGGAUCUCGGCAGCCAGGGGGCGGUUCGCUCCAAAGCGUGACUGCCCCAUUUGGCUGUGUGAUUGGCGGAGGUUCCGGGGUGCUCUUCGUUGAGUGUCCCGGUGCGCCGUCAGGUUUACUUUGAAAAAAUUAGAGUGCUCAAAGCAGGCUUUUCAGGCUUGAAUAUUCGUGCAUGGAAUAAUGGAUAAGGACUCGGUUCUAUUUUGGUGGUUUUUGGGAAACGAAUUAAUGGAUUAUAGGGACAAUUGGGGGCAUUAGUAUUCAAACGACAGAGGUGAAAUUCUUGGACCGUUUGAAGACUAACUACUGCGAAAGCAUUUGCCAAGAGUGUUUUCA
rnacentral:rRNA from 1 species